CACGGGGGGAGCAAGCGUUGUUCGGAAUCACUGGGCGUAAAGGGCGUGUAGGCGGCCAGGUAAGUGGGAUGUGAAAGCCCUCGGCUCACCCGAGGAUCUGCAUCUCAAACUGCCUGGCUUGAGUAUGGGAGAGGAUGAGGGAAUUCCUGGUGUAGCGGUGAAAUGCGUAGAUAUCAGGAGGAACACCGGUGGCGAAGGCGCUCAUCUGGCCCAAUACUGACGCUGAGGCGCGGAAGCUAGGGGAGCAAACGGG
rnacentral:rRNA from 1 species